GGAGCAUCCACGAGUAGAGUGGCAAACGGGUGAGUAACGCGUGGGUGACCUGCCUUCGAGCGGGGGAUAACGUUCCGAAAGGGACGCUAAUACCGCAUAACAUCCUGCCUUUGAAUAGGCGGAGAUCAAAGCUGGGGAUCGCAAGACCUAGCACUCGAAGAUGGGCGUGCGCCUGAUUAGGUAGUUGGCGGAGUAACAGCCCACCAAGCCUACGAUCAGUAACUGGUGUGAGAGCACGACCAGUCACACGGGCACUGAGACACGGGCCCGACUCCUACGGGAGGCAGCAGUAAGGAAUAUUGGUCAAUGGACGCAAGUCUGAACCAGCCAUGCCGCGUGGAGGAUGAAGGUCCUCUGGAUUGUAAACUUCUUUUAUCGGAGAAGAAACCCCGACAUUCUUGUUGGGUUGACGGUACCCGAUGAAUAAGCACCGGCUAACUCCGUGCCAGCAGCCGCGGUCAUACGGAGGGUGCAAGCGUUAUCCGGAUUCACUGGGUUUAAAGGGUGCGUAGGUGGGUUGGUAAGUCAGUGGUGAAAUCUCCGGGCUUAACUCGGAACUGCCGUUGAUACUAUCAAUCUUGAAUCUCGUGGAGGUAAGCGGAAUAUGUCAUGUAGCGGUGAAAUGCUUAGAUAUGACAUAGAACACCGAUAGCGAAGGCAGCUUGCUACACGAGUAUUGACACUGAGGCACGAAAGCGUGGGGAUCAAAUCUUGAAUCUCGUGGAGGUAAGCGGAAUAUGUCAUGUAGCGGUGAAAUGCUUAGAUAUGACAUAGAACACCGAUAGCGAAGGCAGCUUGCUACACGAGUAUUGACACUGAGGCACGAAAGCGUGGGGAUCAAACAGGAUUAGAUACCCUGGUAGUCCACGCCCUAAACGAUGGAUACUCGACAUACGCGAUACACAGUGUGUGUCUGAGCGAAAGCAUUAAGUAUCCCACCUGGGAAGUACGACCGCAAGGUUGAAACUCAAAGGAAUUGGCGGGGGUCCGCACAAGCGGUGGAGCAUGUGGUUUAAUUCGAUGAUACGCGAGGAACCUUACCUGGGCUAGAAUGCAUUUUGACCGUGGGUGAAAGCUCACUUUGUAGCAAUACACAAUUUGUAAGGUGCUGCAUGGCUGUCGUCAGCUCGUGCCGUGAGGCGUUGGGUUAAGUCCCGCAACGAGCGCAACCCCCAUCAUUAGUUGCCAUCAGGUAAAGCUGGGAACUCUAAUGAAACUGCCGUCGUAAGACGCGAGGAAGGAGGGGAUGAUGUCAAGUCAUCAUGGCCUUUAUGCCCAGGGCUACACACGUGCUACAAUGGAAGGGACAAAGGGCUGCCACUUGGCGACAAGGAGCUAAUCCCAAAAACCCUUUCUCAGUUCAGAUCGCAGUCUGCAACUCGACUGCGUGAAGCUGGAAUCGCUAGUAAUCGUAUAUCAGCAAUGAUACGGUGAAUACGUUCCCGGACCUUGCACACACCGCCCGUCAAGCCAUGGAAGCCGGGUGUACCUAAAGUCGGUAACCGCAAGAG
rnacentral:rRNA from 1 species